rnacentral:rRNA from 1 species
AUUGAACGCUGGCGGCAGGCUUAACACAUGCAAGUCGAGCGGAGAUGAGGUGCUUGCACCUUAUCUUAGCGGCGGACGGGUGAGUAAUGCUUAGGAAUCUGCCUAUUAGUGGGGGACCACAUUCCGAAAGGAAUGCUAAUACCUCAUACGCCCUACGGGCGCACGCAGGGGAUCUUCGGACCUUGCGCUCAUAGAUGAGCCUAAAUCGGAUUACCGCUUUGGGGGGGUAAAGGCCUACCAAGGCGACGAUCUUUAGCGGGUCUGAGAGGAUGGUCCGCCACACUGGGACUGAGACACGGCCCAGACUCCUACGGGAGGCAGCAGUGGGGAAUAUUGGACAAUGGGGGGAACCCUGAUCCAGCCAUGCUGCGUGUGUGAAGAAGGCCUUAUGGUUGUAAAGCACUUUAAGCGAGGAGGAGGCUACUGAGACUAAUACUCUUGGAUAGUGGACGUUACUCGCAGAAUAAGCACCGGCUAACUCUGUGCCAGCCGCCGCAGUAAAAC